UCUACUAGCGUGAAAUCUACACAUAACAGAGAUCCUAAGCAUUGGAAUUGUUUACUGUCCAGAAAUCAUUUUUGUGGUACUCAUAUUUGUAUUGUUGAAUUCUGUGUUUGUUUUUCCGCGAAGGUUGUAUCACCUAUAGCAUAGCUUACAAGUUAUUCACCUAUAGCAUAGCCUACAAGUUAUUCAUCUCAUGUCGUAGAUCAUCUGCUUGUAAGAGGUCAUGAGGUUUCAAAAUUUAUUGAGCCUUGAAUAUUUUAUAAAUGGCACCUGCAGAACGUCUAAACGAAUUUGCAAGUGUGUACAUUGGAGGUUGAUUUUGGAAUGGGUAUAUGUUUUGCCUUGCAUGUUUCCCUUUUGAUUAGUUACUUUCAUUGCCUCCUUAACAAUCGUUUCCGCUUUUCUUUACUUAAAACUGUUUCUCCACUCUAGGUGGAAGGAUCUGUGGUAGGUGUACAUAGUUUAGUCAUCUGGCCUAGUAAGCUCAAUCUACACCUCAACACUUUUUAUGAAUUUAGGAUUUCUUUUAUGUAAUCUGCCCAAGUGAGCUCAGAUGGCUGAGCAAUGAUAGAUCCGGCUGGAAGGUGCCAAGCGUAUGAGCUUAUUGUGUGAUAAAGUGUGGUUAAAACAUUUACCUAUUUUAAUCCGUUACUUUAGUUUUUGCUUCUCAAGUUUUGUAUUUGUUGCGCAAAAAUAAUGGUCUCAUAUACAAUAGCCUACAGGUAUUUGAUUGCAUAUAUCUGUGUGUGUUUGACUUAAAAGCUCAGAUAGUUCUUUUAUUUCUGCAGGGGAAAUUGCGAUGCUUAUUACGAAUUGUUGCAAGAAAGUAUUUCAUCUGUUUUGGUGUAAGGAUGCUGCUUUUUAGUAUGAUACCCAUAUCUUAGUGGCUUGGAGCAGCAAGCAUAAAAAAAUACUAGCAUUCCUAAAUGGGCAUCCAAUUUUAGAAAGCACACUUAAGAAACAUGCACACGUGUCUUUAGAUCCUAUGGAGCAUUCCUAAUAAUGACCAUCUAUUUAACUAUCUUGGAUCAUUACCAUUAAAAAAUACAGCAUGGCAUUCAUAAUGUUCAGUUAUUCAUAAAUGUGGCAUUUAAUUCUUCUCCUGGCAUGAUAUUUAAGCAUGUUGCAUAUACCAAUCUGUUGAUAAUUCAAUUAUUGAUUCUGAUGUACAAACAGGCAAAACCAUUGCCUGUUUGGAUGAUCCACAUGAGUAUGUUUUUGUUAGUUUUCGGUGAUGUACGUCGUGAAGCGGGACGGGCAGACGGAGACGGUGCACUUCGACAAGAUCACGGUGCGGCUCAAGAAGCUCAGCUAUGGGCUCAUCCAGGAGCACCGUGACCCCGUGCUCGUCGCGCAGAAGGUCUGCGUAGAAUGUCUGCGUCAGGGUAUACAUGGGCGUCACCACCAGCCAGCUCGACGAGCUCGCCGCCGAGACCGUCGCCGAGCUCACCGCCUCCCAGCCUGACUAUGCCUCCCUCGCGGCGAGGAUUGCUGUGUCUAACCUGCCGCCAAGUGGAAAUAGUCUGUGUGGCGCCCGUAAAUAGAGAACAUUUUGGUAGAAAGGUACAGGAAAGAAUAGGGAAACUUCUGUCAUUUUCUUUGGUCUUUGGAAAAUAAAUGGUGAUAUGGGCUGAUACAUUGCUAAAUUACAUGAUACGGACUCACUUCUCUUUUUUGAUUUUCGGUUUACUUCGUUGUGCUACAAUGGCUCUCCUAGGAAUGUUCUUCCAUGAUUUGAUGUGCACAAUCCAGAAAGUGCAUGCAUCCAGAAACCAAAUAGGAUUUUUUAUGAGUUAUCUUCUCAUAAAUCUUGUGCUCGUCCAAUAAGAAUAAGGUUUGGUCGUGUUGCUUUUGUCUGUCACCCGGUAGAUUUCAGACUUCAAGCUAGCUGCAGUUAUUUCAGGUUAUAUGUGCAAAUCCUUGGUGUGACAUAAUUGGUAACUGACCAUGAAUACGUUGCAAUCUGGUAUGUCUAAUUCUUGAUUUAUGUGGUACCAUGGUCUAAAAAUUGGUCCUAAAGAUACAUGAUGUUUUUGUACAAAGUUGAGACCGUUAUUUUGGAACGGAGGGAGUAUCAGAUUACUUUGUUCCUUUUUAAUUUGGUUCUAAAGAUAUAAUUUUAGAGUGAUCGUUUUGCAUCAGCCAAGCUUGCCGUUAUUACAAAUAAUUGUUCUAUUGUCCUCAAUUCACUUUCUUGGUUUUUUAAUGCUACGAGCAUUAUUGUUCCAGUUCUUUUUAGUUAUUGAUCAUGCCAUUUUUCUUUCUGCCUUUGUAGCUGAAAGAUUAGUGAGACUGACUGAAUUCUGAACAUGUUUCAUGUGAGAGAAAUAGCAUGUUGAUUUCAUCUUGAAAUAAUCAUAGCUGAGGGACGAGGUUCGUAACUGAGGGUCAUCUGCAGAGCUGGAGAAAGAAGUUGCGAGGCUUGGAACUCUCCUUGUGAAGGGCUCAGGACAACAGUGAGGAUAAUGCCUCUUUAGUUGUAAUUGUGAUACUCCUGAUGUGCAAGUAAACACUCCUGUGAUACUCCUUAUGCUAAAAUGUUGGUUGUUAGUAUAGAGGUGGUGACAUUAUUUGGUUUUUUGGUAUUGAUUUCAUGAUUUGUGGUUAAUACCUGAUGUAAUACAAUCCACAUUGCAUUAUAUUUCCAGUUACAUUUCCUA